AUGUUCCUUCUCAAUCAGGUCUGGUGGCUGUUGUGUGGGGCUCCCCAAGGUGAGGGGUGGCCCGGGGCCAGUGGGUUAGAAGACAGGGUGACCAGGGAAGAGGGCAGCCCAAGGGUGGUGAACAUGGGUCUAAAUUGUGGGUGCACUGCCUGGGUGCCGUGGGAGAGGCCAGUGUGUUUGGAUGGGGAGGGCCACCGCAGCCCCCGGGCACUACCUGUGAAGCUCCGGCUCCUUCCUCCUUCUUCCUUCCCUUUCCCUUCCAGCCCCUUUCCAGGAACCUUGCCACACCUGCACCUGCGCCCUCCCCUGCCCAGCCCUACCCUAGCUGCUGCAGCGCCCCUGCUCUGCGCUUACCUCACCAGCUCUCUCCUAGCUUUUCUCUCUCCUGUUUCCCCUCUGUUUUCUCUGCAACUGCCAGCCGAUUGGGACACGGAAGUCCAUCCCAUCCUGAGAGCCCCAGGUCCCCCUUCGACCUCUACACAGAUCCCCCCUCCUGUCGGAGACCUCCCUUUCCAAGCCUGCCUGGGCGGCUGUUCUGUGACUCCCCCAGCCCCAAAGCCAGCCCCCUUCAUCUGUGACUUAGUCUUUUGUAGCAGUGAGGUGACAUAUCCAGGUGUGACCGUCCCCCUCUGUGGCACGCCCCUGCCCUGUUCUAGAAGUAUCUAUAAACACUCACAUAUAUAUACACACCUACAUAUCGCUGACUGCCUCGCCUCUGGCACUGGGAGUCAGUCACCGGGCUGUCCUUGUGGAGUCUUGUGGCCCAACAAGAGAAAGCUGUCCCCUGACAUUGCCCCUCCAAAGUGCACCACCUCCAGUGAGCCUCCCUGUUGCCCAGGCCCCGCCAUCCCUCCCACCUCUGCUAAGCAUGGAGGUGCUGUGCAGGCAGCUCUGUGGCCUGACAGUCUCUACCAGUCCUGCUGUCCCUCCGCGGAGAGUCAAACCCAUUUCUGGAUGACGGGGAAUAUGUCCUCCGUGGAGCUCAUGGGAGGGGAAAGGCCAAGCCAUUUCUGGGGUGCUGUUGGGAGCCGUGAAAAGGCCCCACCCUUUCCAAGGGGCACUGUUCCUGGAAAGCCCCUGGGGCUUAACUGGUCUUAUCCUGUGAAGCCGGCUCUGGCCACUAGGGGACAGAGCCAUGAACUCAGCCUGGAGGGAGCCUGCCCGGCAGCUGGCACUCUGGAGGGACAGACAGAACAGGCCACCAGGCACGGAGAGGACAGGGAGGCCGGAAAUGGAAGAAAGACACGUGAAGUGGAUGCAAGUCAGUGCCCUUGGGUGCUGGUACCUGCCUUCCUGGCCACCACUAGAUCAGGCUUCAGAGCCUGCUGGCUGUCAGGGCCGGACGUGCCAUGGCAGUCCCCAGGAAAUCUCCCAGGUGUCACCGCGCAGCACACAGGUAACAAGCCUGGAAGGUUCCCAACAGGCCAGCUGGACAUGCUCAGACACUCUGGGGCUCCUCGUUCAGUGGCACAAACUCCAGGACCCAGUGAGGGAAAUGGAAAUACACCAGGCCGAGCAGUGUGA
rnacentral:lncRNA from 1 species